rnacentral:rRNA from 1 species
UGAGGAAUAUUGGUCAAUGGGCGCGAGCCUGAACCAGCCAAGUAGCGUGAAGGAUGAAGGUCCUAUGGAUUGUAAACUUCUUUUAUAGCAGAAUAAAGUGACCCACGUGUGGGUUUUUGUAUGUAUGCUAUGAAUAAGGAUCGGCUAACUCCGUGCCAGCAGCCGCGGUAAUACGGAGGAUCCGAGCGUUAUCCGGAUUUAUUGGGUUUAAAGGGUCCGUAGGCGGACUUAUAAGUCAGUGGUGAAAGCCUGUCGCUUAACGAUAGAACUGCCAUUGAUACUGUAAGUCUUGAGUAUAUUUGAGGUAGCUGGAAUAAGUAGUGUAGCGGUGAAAUGCAUAGAUAUUACUUAGAACACCAAUUGCGAAGGCAGGUUACCAAGAUAUAACUGACGCUGAGGGACGAAAGCGUGGGGAGCGAACA